rnacentral:rRNA from 1 species
CGAGUGGCGGACGGGGGAGUAAUGUCUGGGAAACUGCCCGAUGGAGGGGGAUAACUACUGGAAACGGUAGCUAAUACCGCAUAACGUCGCAAGACCAAAGAGGGGGACCUUAGGGCCUCUUGCCAUCGGAUGUGCCCAGAUGGGAUUAGCUAGUAGGUGGGGUAACGGCUCACCUAGGCGACGAUCCCUAGCUGGUCUGAGAGGAUGACCAGCCACACUGGAACUGAGACACGGUCCAG